rnacentral:rRNA from 1 species
UACGAAGGGUGCAAGCGUUACUCGGAAUUACUGGGCGUAAAGCGUGCGUAGGUGGUUCGUUAAGUCUGCCGUGAAAGCCCCGGGCUCAACCUGGGAAUGGCGGUGGAUACUGGCGGACUAGAGUGCGGUAGAGGGUGGUGGAAUUCCCGGUGUAGCAGUGAAAUGCGUAGAGAUCGGGAGGAACAUCUGUGGCGAAAGCGACUUCCUGGACCAAUACUGACGCUCAUGUGCGAAAGCGUGGGGAGCAAACAGG